rnacentral:lncRNA from 1 species
CGAGGAUUUGUGCUCGUAUUGGAGGUAUAACCUGAGGUCGUCGUCAGUGGUCGUUGGAGGUGGUUAGCGGUGGUUGGAGGUGGUCGAAGGUGGACGAGGAGGUGGACGAGGAUGACGAGGAGAACAAGGUGGAUGAGGAGAAUAAGGAUUUGUGCUUGGUAUAACCCGCAGUGGUGAGCGGUGGUUAGCGGUGGUCACUGGAGGUGGUUGGAGAUGGUCGGAGAUGGUCGGACGUAGUUGGCGGUCAUAGUACGUGGCUGAAGAACUAGGAGAAGGCGGAGGAGGAGGACCAAGUAGGAGUAGGAGUAAGUGUGGGAGUAGGAGUAGGAGUGUUAGAAAUUGGAGUAGAAGUAGAAGUAGAAGUAGAAGUUCGAAUUCAAAUAGGAGUAGGACUAGGAGUAAGAGUAGGAGUAGGAGUAGAAGUAGGAGUAGGAGUAGGAGUAGUAGUUGUACUUGUACUUCUACUCCUGAUCCCACUCCUGAUCCUACUUGUGAGCCUACUCCCACUCCUACUCUUGAUCAUGAUCCUACUCCUACUCCAUUAAAUAUUAUAAAAAUGUUAUACUCACAGUGCACAAAUCCUCCUCCUCCUUGUCCUCCGCCUCGUCCACUUCGAUCACCUGCAACCAUCGCCAACCACCUCCAGCGACCACUGACGACGACCUCAGGUUAUACCUUGAAUAGUAAUGAAUAUUUUCAGUACAAGAACACAUCAAAAAUAUUGUGAUCUCAGAAAACGCAGCGAAAACAGCGUGG